rnacentral:rRNA from 1 species
AGAGUUUGAUCCUGGCUCAGAACGAACGCUGGCGGCAGGCUUAACACAUGCAAGUUGAACGGGAUUUGUAUGGUGCUUGCACCAUGUAAUGAGAGUAGCGCACUGGUGAGUAACACGUGGGAACAUACCUUGAAGUGGGGGACAACAGUUGGAAACGACUGCUAAUACCGCAUAAUCCCUGAGGGGGAAAGAUUUAUCGCUUUAAGAUUGGCCCGCGGAAGAUUAGGUAGUUGGUGGGGUAAAGGCCUACCAAGCCGACGAUCUAUAGCUGGUCUGAGAGGACGAACAGCCACAUUGGAACUGAGACACGGUCCAAACUCCUACGGGAGGCAGCAGUGAGGAAUAUUGGGCAAUGGAGGCAACUCUGACCCAGCCAUGCCGCGUGAGUGAAGAAGGUUUUCGAAUUGUAAAGCUCUUUCGGAUGGGACGAUGAUGACGGUACCAUCUAAAGAAGCCCCGGCAAACUUCGUGCCAGCAGCCGCGGUAAUACGAAGGGGGCAAGCGUUGUUCGGAAUUACUGGGCGUAAAGGGUGUGUAGGCGGUUAUGUAAGAUAGUGGUGAAAUCCCAGAGCUUAACUUUGGAAUUGCCAUUAUGACUAUGUGGCUAGAAUUACAGAGAGGAUAGUGGAAUACCCAGUGUAGAGGUGAAAUUCGUAGAUAUUGGGUAGAACACCAGUGGCGAAGGCGAGUAUCUGGCUGUCAACUGACGCUGAGGCACGAAAGCAUGGGGAUCAAACAGGAUUAGAUACCCUGGUAGUCCAUGCUGUAAACGAUGAGUGCUUGUUGUCGGUAUUGUAUCGGUGACGAAGUUAACGCGUUAAGCACUCCGCCUGGGGAGUACGGUCGCAAGAUUAAAAC